rnacentral:rRNA from 1 species
UGUCCUUAUUUGCCAGCACGUAAUGGUGGGAACUCUAAGGAGACUGCCGGUGACAAACCGGAGGAAGGUGGGGACGACGUCAAGUCAUCAUGGCCCUUAUGACCAGGGCUACACACGUGCUACAAUGGGACGUACAGAGGGUUGCUAAGCCGCGAGGUGGAGCCAAUCCCAGAAAACGUUUCGUAGUCCGGAUCGAAGUCUGCGACUCGACUUCGUGAAGUCGGAAUCGCUAGUAAUCGCGAAUCAGCAUGUCGCGGUGAAUACGUUC